AAGGACUCCAUUAGUUCUUUGUGGGUGAGUAAAAACUUUAGGUGUCUUAUAAAGGCCACCUGAAACGGUUAUAUAUGUUUUCUGCAGUCCCUCCUUGCACAAUGUUCUCUCAUCUUACUAACCUUUUGAGAAGGAUCCCAGCCUGUUGCCAACCCAAAAUGUUAGUUUUAAAUGUCAAAGUUUUCGCAUACGAGAAGUAGUUCCUCCUCAAAAUGUUCACAUAUUUCAAACACUGAGGCUAGUUAUCUGUGAUAUCGUUUCUGAGAUGAUCUUUCCCCUCACACUUUUACUCCAAUGUCGUUUUGUGUAGUUCGGCGGUGAUGCAAUAUUUCUUUUGCUUCGCGGCUACACUCCCCUGACGGGCUGACUUGAACACGGUAAAAGCUAUUGAGGUGGAAAAAGGUCCUGAACCGGUGGAUGUUUAGAGGAAGAUGAGAGAACAGGGGAAGCCGUGAGAGCAGACUCAGAGGAAGAUGAGAGAACAGGGGAAGCCAUGAGAGCAGACUCAGAGGAAGAUGAGAGAACAGGGGAAGCCAUGAGAGCAGACUCAGAGGAAGAUGAGAGAACAGGGGAAGCCAUGAGAGGAGAGGAAGAUGAGAGAACAGGGAAAGCCAUGAGAGCAGAGGAAGAUGAAGAAGAGACUGUUGUGUCAAAUGAUCCUGGUUUGUGGCCAACAAAAAUUAGCAAUGCAGACAGAGAAAAAAUUGUUGUAAAAUAGCUUCUUCUAAAGAUAAAGAACAAGAAAUGCCACAUGAUUCAAAAGGUAAAGCCUUCCCCGAAUACCUCAAGAACACAAAUUCAGGAAAUUGCCGGGAAAAGAUUAGAGAGACUGGGUCAUUUACAGCCAAAGCACAAAUGCACUAUUUUGUAUUCCUUGUGUAUUAUUUGGUCAUGAGCUAAAAGAAACCUUGUAUGAGCGCACUAAGCAGUCAACAUGGUUAUAAAAUCAAAGACAUAACAUGGCGUCGAAUGUAUGAUAAAUUCCCUAACAACGAAAGCAGCAAAGCACCAGUGUUAAUUUCGUCGACGAAAACUAUGACGAAAAUUUUUCGGUAACGAACCUUUUUUCCAUGACUAAGACGAGACUAAGACGUGACAAACGAUCUUAAAAAAUAAAAACUAUGACUAAAUCUAUUUUAACUUUCGCUAACGAGACAAGACGAACAUGUUGGUGGUUGACGAAAUCACGAUACUUUUUUCCCCCUAAAUUUCCACGCAGCUGACUGAAAACAGACCGGCAAAGAACGGCGGAUAUUAACGUGUCAUAAUUGGGACCACUGUCCUGACCCUCUGUUGUUUGCAGUGCGGGAGGUCCCCCAGCCCUCCACGGGAUUUUCUCCUUUUGAACUUUUCGGUGGGUGGUCGACUCUCUACGCUACUACCUCCUGGGACGCUCUUUCACCCUCUGUUCGGAGAAGGGAGUGGUUCAGGGAACGGCGCCGGGGGAGGCAAUUGGCCUCAGCUGAAAUUAACCAGUGUGUGUAUUCUGCC
ensembl:lncRNA